GUCAGAAUGGUGUAGUGGCUUGAGUGUUGGACUAGGACUCUGGGGACCAGGGUUCAAAUCCUUGUUCAGCCA